GUUUCCCUUGAGUGGACUCUUUUCCUUGAUAUGCCUUUUCUAAUAGCCACAUAACACCAUCUCGAAAGGUUACAACUUUCUUCAUAUCAGCUAUGUUUCUCAUUGUGUUUUCCUGAGGUAUCCUUGAUACUCUGCGGGAAGGAGAUAAUGGAGAUGCUGCAGCUGUAUGUCACCUUCUCUAAGUACCCAGGAGCAGCAAGAAACACUGAAUUUUGGAGUCUUAUCUGGAAAAGACUUGGAAUUGUAAUCCCCCACUUACUGACUGUAAGAGCCUUGGAUCUGUUCCUGAAAACAUGGUGUUCAAGUUGAACAUAUGAAAACAGAACUUCUUUCUUCUUCAAUGGAAGUGACACCUAACAAUUUGGAUUUAGAUUUCUCUGCCUCUUACAUCUACUGCUUGAUAAUGUAGAAACCAACAUUCAAAUCCAGGGAAGCAAAUCCUUUUUUAAAAGAUUUGAUUAAAUUAUCUGAGGAUAAAUUGUGCCUUGUUUUUUAUUUUUAACUAUAUUUUUGAGAGGGAGCUUCACAAACUCUUUAUUAUUCCCUUAAGAUCCAACUUUUGGUUCUUAUGACAUCAGUUUCAGAUGAGGACGCACAAGUCACUGUUCCCAUUACUAUAUUGGGAGGGUGGGGUUCUGAAAAUGUGCAAUGUGAGU
rnacentral:lncRNA from 1 species